rnacentral:rRNA from 1 species
GAACGAAAGGGAAUACGGUUCCAAUUCGUGACGCGCAUAAUGGAUUAACGAGAUCCUGGAAGUCGGGAAGACCUGUUGAGCUUGACUCUAAUCUGGCAGUGUAAGGAGACAUAAGAGGUGUAGCAUAAGUGGGAGAUAUAUAAUAAUCUUUUAAGAUUUAUAUAUCAAAAAUGAAAUACCACUACUCUUAUUGUUUCCUUACUUACUUGAUUAAAUGGAACGUGUAUCAUUUACUUAGCCAUUAUAUGGAUAUAUUUUUUAUAAUAUAUUUUAUGGUAUUUUGUUUUGAUGCAAGCUUCUUGAUCAAAGUACUUAUGAGUUUGUUAUAUACACCAAACAAAUUUCAGUGAAAUCGUUUUUAUAAUAAAAAAUUUUUCUUUAUAGAAAUAAUUUUUUUUUUAUGUAUAAUUAAAGUAAUUAUUUUUGGUAUAACUCUUUAUACUCUGGUAUGAUCCAAUUCAAGGACAUUGGCAGGUAGGGAGUUUGACUGGGGCGGUACAUCUCUCAAAUAAUAACGGAGGUGUCCCAAGGCCAGCUCAGUGCGGACAGAAACCACACAUAGAACAAAAGGGCACAUGCUGACUUGACCUCGGUGUUCAGUAUACACAGAGACAGCAAAAGCUCGGCCUAUCGAUCCUUUUGGUUUAAUGAGUUUUUAGCAAGAGGUGUCAGAAAAGUUACCACAGGGAUAACUGGCUUGUGGCGACCAAGCGUUCAUAGCGACGUCCGCCUCUAAGGUCGUAUCCGUGCUGGACUGUAAUAAUAAUAAUUGGGGUAAUUGUAUUGCGUGGCAAUAAACAAUUUAAAGUUUAUAAUUUUUAUAUUAUAAACGAUAUAUAAAAUAAUGAUGCCAAUGUGUUAUUUAAUAUAGUUAUUAUAGUUUGUAUAAAAGUAACAUUCUAUAUAAAAAACUAAUUAAAUAUUAACUAAUCAUUAUAUAAUGCGAUGACAAUGCCUAGAAUCAAUUGUAAACGACUUUGGUAACGGGCAAGGUGUUGUAAGUGGUAGAGCAGCUGCCAUACUGCGAUCCACUGAAGCUUAUCCUUU